CAGGUGAACUCCAGGCCGCCCUCAGGGAGAGGAAAGCAGCUUACCUGGCUGCCUGGAGGAAGGCCCAGCUGUACG